rnacentral:rRNA from 1 species
AGUCAAUAGAUACCCUGGUAGUCCACGCCGUAAACGAUGAGUACUAGGUGUAGGAGGUAUCGACUCCUUCUGUGCCGCAGUUAACACAAUAAGUACUCCGCCUGGGAAGUACGGUCGCAAGAUUAAAACUCAAAGGAAUUGACGGGGGCCCGCACAAGCAGCGGAGCAUGUGGUUUAAUUCGAAGCAACGCGAAGAACCUUACCUAGACUUGACAUCCCCUGAAUAACGUAGAGAUACGCGAAGCCCUUCGGGGCAGGGAGACAGGUGGUGCAUGGUUGUCGUCAGCUCGUGUCGUGAGAUGUUGGGUUAAGUCCCGCAACGAGCGCAACCCUUAUCAUUAGUUGCUACCAUUUAGUUGAGCACUCUAGUGAGACUGCCCGGGUUAACCGGGAGGAAGGCGGGGAUGACGUCAAAUCAUCAUGCCCCUUAUGUCUAGGGCUACACACGUGCUACAAUGGUGAGAACAACGAGAUGCAAUACCGCGAGGUGGAGCAAAACUUCAAAACUCAUCUCAGUUCGGAUUGUAGGCUGAAAC